UGCUCUGGUAGCCUAGUGGUUAAAGCAUCCGCCUCGGAUGUGGGAGGUCAUGGGUUUGAUCCCCUGCUGAGUCA